rnacentral:rRNA from 1 species
UACAGAGGUCUCAAGCGUUGUUCGGAUUCAUUGGGCGUAAAGGGUGCGUAGGUGGCGCGCUAAGUCAGGUGUGAAAUCUCGGGGCUUAACUCCGAAACUGCAUUUGAUACUGGCGUGCUUGAGGACUGGAGAGGAGACUGGAAUUCAUGGUGUAGCAGUAGAAAUGCGUAGAGAUCAUGAGGAAGACCAGUGGCGAAGGCGGGUCUCUGGACAGUUCCUGACACUGAGGCACGAAGGCCAGGGGAGCAAACGAG